rnacentral:lncRNA from 1 species
ACAGAAGGAAGAGCAGGUUUCUCACGGCAUGUCAGCCCAGGGCUCCCACAUGUGGCCUCCCACCCUCAUCUUCACACAUUCUCACACCUUCCGGAGUACAGAGGCGAGUGGGGUGCAGAUGGUCCUCCCUACAUCGGCCUCCUGCCCCCAACAGGAUUCCUCACAUCCCAGGACCAGCUGGAAAAGGUGGUGAGAGUUGGAAAGAGACUGCUCAGUGAGGACUGCCCUGCGAACCAGCUUGGAUUCAUCCCGUUCACCUCCACGUUCUGCACUCGGGGCCGAGGGAAGGGAGGCAGCCCAGGCAGCUAGAGAACUUGAUGAAACACACUCAAUCUGAAUCUCGCUUGAUCGUCAUGCUGACCCAGUGAGUCUACUCAGGGUCAGGCAUCCUUUCCGACUACUCACUCAGCAGCGGAUCCCCACCCGCCUCUGACUCCCAGUGUCUUUCGGCUCCAACGUAAGUUCACCGAACGUCUAAGAGCUGAGGAUUCAAAGGCAUGUAAGACCGCCCCUGCCCUCAGCUGCAAGACCUGUCCGCGAUCCUACGAGCCCCAUUCCGCCCUCUUUCCCCGACCUUGGUCCCCCAUGGGCCCUACAACCAGGUCCCCGACUGACACCUUGACCAGCGAACACAGCAAACAGGCCCGCAGAUGCCGCAGGUCCUUCGGCACCGUCUCCAGGGCCAUCUUCGCCGAUGGGAAGAACAACAGGGAGAUAGACGACCACAGCCUGUGCACCCGCAGGAAGUAAAUAGCUCGUUACCCAGAAUGCCCACCACUUCCGGCGCUUAGACUUCCUCUUCCGGUGUGGGCGGACGCCAGCUCCGCCCCUACCCCCGCCAGAGGAGAUGGUUUCUCCCGCCAGCAGGCGGGGAGGCUGGGCGGCCGGCCGCCACCUGGGCCGGAGCGCGUCGCAGCCACCUGAGCCCGCCGAGGGCGCGGCGGAGGCUGUGUGGGGUAGUCAGCGGGCCCCCGGGGCGGGGGGGCGGCUGCGCUUGCGCGGGAGUGUGUCGGGCUGAGCCGCAGCGCCGAGACGCGGGCUGUUUGAUCUGGGCUGGUGGCCCUGGGCGUCGGUCCUGUUCCCCGAUGGUAACCCGAAGUUUGUUUUUUUUUGUUUUGUCUCCCCGUUUUAGAAGCAUUGGGGGCAGUGAAUCCACUGUCUCCCUCUGGAUUGUCUCUGCAGAGACCGAGAAGAAAUCCAGGGACAGCCCCACCCCUCCUUCCUAACUGCGAGAGCGCUAUAGGGUUUCCACUUGCUUCCCACAGGAAUGCUGGCCUGGGAGCUACGGCGGAAAAAAAUGCGUAUUUAUCUUUUAAAACUCCGUCUGUUUGCUCGUUCCGGCUGAUAAUUUAUACUUUGCGCAGUUCUUAGCGCUUAGACACGGUUCCUUUACUAAAGACCAUUUGUAGGAGAUUAGGUGUCCUUUUUUUCCCUUUCAUUUCACCGUCUAGGAAGCGAAAUGCCUUGUUCUAUAGGCACUAAACCACCACCCCUACCAAACCUUUCUCGGGGAAGCAGAAGGGGAACUUGUGCCUUGUGAGGAAGCGACAAAGGCCCCUUCUGGCCCUGGAGACUUCACGCCAAUGGAGCACCAGCUCUCUGUCCUCGCAAUAGCCCGAGUGCAGGCAGAACGCAGUCAUUUGUGUUUAUCUGAGAGGAGCUUUGGGAUAUAAAUAGUUUCAGGCCCCGCUGCGCUGUCAUUCCAGCCCAGCCUCCUGAUUGAGCUGCUUCCGGGCGGGCUUUCUUCUUGUUGGCGGUCCCAUGCUGUGUUCAGAUGGGCUCUGUGACAGGUUUGGAUGUUUUCUAUCACUGAAUAAAACUUUCCACUUUGGAACAUAUUUUCUACACUCUAUUAUCUCAUGUAAGUCCUGCAACAACUAUUAAGUAGGCCCAUUUUAUGGACUGAAAAAGCGAGGCACAGAGUAUUUGCCCAAGGUCUGAGUCACUGAAGUAUGAUAAUGUGUGAAGUGAACAGUAUAAUAAUAAUGACUGAAGCACAGUAAGAAUCCAGUCAUGCUUUCUCCUUCCCUGAUCUCACUAAGCCACACUUUUAGGGGCUUACAAACCAGUUCUUAUUGCCAAGCCCUCUACUCUACCCUAUCCUUUCAUGAAUCGGAGCCUAGCCUCUGAUAACAUAAAUAAUUUACUUCUCUUGAUGUAGAAAGAGAUGACGUUGUUACCCUGAGUGACAGUCACGACAGAACAAAACCACAAGACCAGACCACAUUUGUGGAUAAAUAUAUUAGCAAAUAAAUAUAUUUCUUAACAUAGUGCCUGAAAAAAAAAAAAAAAAAA